rnacentral:tRNA from 1 species
GGAAGUGUAGCUCUGUGGUGGAGCGCUUGCUUGGUAUGCUCAGGGCUCUGGGUUUAAUCCCCAGCACUGCAA